rnacentral:lncRNA from 1 species
UGGGUAAUCCAAGCCUCGGCAGGUACAGUUCCUCCCUCAGGGCCCAGGACACAGUGAGCAUACAAUAGACAUUAGCUGCUGUGGUGUCUUGAUUUCAAGCCCAGUGCAGAUGCAUCUGACUUACGAAACUUCAGUGACACCUGCUCUGUGCCAGACACUGAAGAUGGAGCAGUGAACAGCACUGACCCAGCCUGUCCUCCUGUUGCCUGCAGGCCAGAUGCCGUUCCAUUGUUUGCUGACUUUCAUUGAUUCUAUGAGAAGUCUGCAGUCUUUUGCAGCGUUGUUUUCCUAUGUAUAAUUGUCUCCUCCCACCCCACUCACCCCAGCUGCUUUCCACAUUCUCUCUCUUUGAUUUUCAGCAGUCUGCCCAUGAUGUGCCUAAAUAGGACUUUCUUUGCAUUCAUCUUGGCUGGGGCUCACUGAACUUUCUGAAUCUGUAGAUUAAUUUUCUUUUUUCAAUAAACCUUGGAAU